GGCUCGGUAGCUUAAUUGGAAAAGCACUUGUCUAGCGAAUAAGGGUCGUGAGUUCAAAUCUCACCUGAGCUG
rfam:Aedes albopictus isolate Foshan contig6281, whole genome shotgun sequence.